CAAAGUUUAUGGUUUAGCAUGGUUUUUGUUAGUAUGACCUUUUAUUUUGUUUUGUCACUGGGAUAAAGGGACAUUAUAGCUCAGAAAGAGACACGUUCAACUCAUUCUAGAGGUGAUAGGAGUAAAAAGCUUGUUCUUGACUUGAGAAAAGUCGGGAGAAAACUGUGGCUGACCAUUUCUAAUUGAGGUUGCAGAGCACAUCGAGUUAUUGGGAGUCUGUGUUGCCAGCAGAGCCAGAGAGACGACCAGGGGGAAAUUAGCCCACAGACAGAGCGUAAAUGCUGCACACUGCAGACCAAGGGGACAAGUUAGAGGCAAACCAGUGCUGCAUCCCCCUCCAUGCUUCCUGAUUUAUCCAGAGCGAGACUAGCAAUCUUUUAGCCAAAAAAAAAAGGUAACCUUAAAGUUUUGUGUUGAUUUGGCAUUUUACCUUUGGAGGAGCAGAAAAUGAGAAGAAGUUAAAACU